UGCCCCAUGGCUGAGUUGGUUACAGCGUCCGACUGUUACUUGACGGGAUCGGAAGGUCGUGAGUUCGAGCCUCACUGGGGCAG
rfam:Postia placenta Mad-698-R POSPLscaffold_121_Cont5224, whole genome shotgun sequence.